rnacentral:rRNA from 1 species
UACGUAGGGUGCAAGCGUUGUCCGGAAUUAUUGGGCGUAAAGCGCGCGUAGGCGGAUCAGGAAGUUGGGGGUGAAAUCCCGGGGCUCAACCCCGGAAUGGCCUUCAAAACUCCUGGUCUUGAGUUCGAGAGAGGUGAGUGGAAUUCCGAGUGUAGAGGUGAAAUUCGUAGAUAUUCGGAGGAACACCAGUGGCGAAGGCGGCUCACUGGCUCGACACUGACGCUGAGGUGCGAAAGCGUGGGGAGCAAACAGG